UACGGAGGGUGCAAACGUUGCUCGGAAUUACUGGGCGUAAAGCGCGUGUAGGCGGCCCUGCAAGUCGGGUGUGAAAUCCCACGGCUCAACCGUGGAAGUGCAUUCGAAACUGCAGGGCUAGAGUCCUGGAGAGGAAGGUGGAAUGCUUGGUGUAGAGGUGAAAUUCGUAGAUAUCAAGCGGAACACCGGUGGCGAAGGCGGCCUUCUGGACAGUGACUGACGCUGAGACGCGAAAGCGUGGGGAGCAAACAGG
rnacentral:rRNA from 1 species